rnacentral:ribozyme from 1 species
AAAAAAGAGGAAACGAGAGAAAAGAAUAGAAAGGAGAUAAGAAGUAGUGGAGGUGGAGGUGGUGGGAGGAGGGAGGUGGAUUUCUUCUUUUUCAUGCGCGGGCUUUCUCUCUUUUGUUCCUUCCUGUUCCCUCGUGAUUCCAGACAUCCUUGAAACAGACUGGAUUUUUGCAUCGUGUGAACCCUUGGAUACCACGACAGAGGAGGAAAACGGUUUCGUUUCACUCAUUUGUGUUGUU